AUAUAAAAUAUUCACAGGCAGAUUUGCUUUAUAUUUCCCUGCCGUCGAAAUCAGGCAUAUAUAAAUGUCAGGAAACACGACUCCUGGCUGCAUGUCAAUAUCCAUGGAUUAGGUUUAUUUGACGUGUCAUAAGGAACAUUUUCGAGCCCCAGUUUCUCCUAUUAAAUCCAGUCACGCAGCAGGUUCUUUUGCCACUCAGUCCAGCUGAGGGAGCGCGUUCCGGCGGGAAAGUGACGUCGAUGCAUACCCUCUAUUCACAACUAGCGAACAAGCCUUAAUUAAAACAUUUCACCUGCACUUUAAGGGUCCCGCGUCAGACGUUUUUCUGACGUCACGACGCACGAGCGUCUUGAACUUUCUGCUCGAAUCGAUUUUCUCGGACUGAAAGCGCGAGAUUAUUUGAAAUGCUGUGGGCAGGAAGUGCGCGCGGUGCGGGAGAAAACGCUCGAGGCUGUGAGGAUUCCUGCGUUAUAAUCUUGUUUACAGUCUAUGGUUAUAAUAUUGAGUUAAGUUUUUAAAUUAAUAUUUGUCUGUGCUUUUAUUUGUCUUUGACAUGCUCUGAUUUCAUGUAUAUGUUUGCCCAAAAUGAUGAUCCAAAUCUAUAAGUAAAGACAUUGUGAGCUAACCUUACAUUUGCCUAACGUGGUGUUUUGCUUCGUCCAGGGGAAAAUCAAAAUGUUAGGAUUUUAGUAUAAUAUAUAAUGUUAGGAUUUUAGUAUUUUUAGUAUAAAUCAUGAUCAUGAUUUUAGUUGAAAUAGUAGAUUAUAAUAGUAGUAUUUGCACAACUAAUUAAUUGACCUAACAAACAACUUUCGACCACUAAUAAGUGCUGUAAAAAUGUUUCUCCUCUUAAGACCUAAAGCUCUUCAAUGAUUUUUGAUGACCAAGGACACUUUUGAAAUACAUGACUGAAAACAUUCACCUGAGAAGAGUGUGUCCUGUAGGCCCUUUUUUCCUGAAAGUCCUGAAGACCUCAUCAACAAGUACCUUGUGAGUUGAACGUCUCACACCUUCACACCUUCUUGCCUUGUGCCACAGCCACUGGCAUUGAAGGGACUGUGACGCUACCAACCAAGCUUCACUUGAUUGUCCAAGAGUCCUCCAAUUCCAUCACUGCUCUCAAAACACACUGGCUCCAGCCCUUCAUCCAGACAGCAUUUGAUGGCGGUCAGCCCAGAGCUGCCUGCUCCAAUCACAGCCACACGCUUAGCCAUGCUGUCAGUCUG